rnacentral:rRNA from 1 species
CCCUUAGAUGUUCUGGGCCGCACGCGCGCUACACUGAUGCAUUCAACGAGUCCAACCUUGACCGAGAGGUCCGGGUAAUCUUUGAAACUGCAUCGUGAUGGGGCUAGAUUAUUGCAAUUAUUAAUCUUCAACGAGGAAUGCCUAGUAAGCGUGAUUCAUCAAAUCGCGUUGAUUACGUCCCUGCCCUUUGUACACACCGCCCGUCGCUCCUACCGAUUGAGUGUGUUGGUGAGGAGUUUGGAUCGGCCUCGGAAGGUGGUUCGCCACCGUCCGUAGCUGAGAAGUUCUCCAAACCGCCCCACUUAGAGGAAGGAGAAGUCGUAACA